CUACGGGUCGCAGCAGUGGGGAAUAUUGCACAAUGGGGGAAACCCUGAUGCAGCGACGCCGCGUGAGUGAAGAAGUAUUUCGGUAUGUAAAGCUCUUUCAGCAGGGAAGAUAAUGACGGUACCUGACUAAGAAGCACCGGCUAAAUACGUGCCAGCAGCCGCGGUAAUACGUAUGGUGCAAGCGUUAUCCGGAUUUACUGGGUGUAAAGGGUGCGUAGGUGGCAUGGCAAGUCAGAUGUGAAAACCCGGGGCUCAACCCCGUGACUGCAUUUGAAACUGUCAAGCUAGAGUGCAGGAGAGGAAAGCGGAAUUCCUAGUGUAGCGGUGAAAUGCGUAGAUAUUAGGAGGAACACCAGUGGCGAAGGCGGCUUUCUGGACUGUAACUGACACUGAGGCACGAAAGCGUGGGGAGCAAACAGGAUUAGAUACCCUUGUAGUC
rnacentral:rRNA from 1 species